AUUGAACGCUGGCGGCAUGCCUUACACAUGCAAGUCGAACGGCAGCACGGGAGCAAUCCUGGUGGCGAGUGGCGAACGGGUGAGUAAUACAUCGGAACGUGCCCAAUCGUGGGGGAUAACGUAGCGAAAGCUACGCUAAUACCGCAUACGAUCUACGGAUGAAAGCGGGGGAUCGCAAGACCUCGCGCGAAUGGAGCGGCCGAUGGCAGAUUAGGUAGUUGGUGAGGUAAAGGCUCGCCAAGCCUGCGAUCUGUAGCUGGUCUGAGAGGACGACCAGCAACACUGGGACUGAGACACGGCCCAGACUCCUACGGGAGGCAGCAGUGGGGAAUUUUGGACAAUGGGCGCAAGCCUGAUCCAGCAAUGCCGCGUGCAGGAUGAAGGCCUUCGGGUUGUAAACUGCUUUUGUACGGAACGAAACGGUCCUUUCUAAUACAAGGGGCUAAUGACGGUACCGUAAGAAUAAGCACCGGCUAACUACGUGCCAGCAGCCGCAGUAA
rnacentral:rRNA from 1 species